GACAGAAGGUGCAAGCGUUACUCGGAAUUACUGGGCGUAAAGCGUCCGCAGGUGUCCCUUCAAGUCCGGUGUGAAAUUACCGGAGCUCAACUCCGUGCCCGUGCCGGAAACUGUCGGGAUUGAGUCACUCAGAGGCAUCUGGAAUGCCGUGUGUAGGGGUAAAAUCCGUUGAUCCACGGUGGAACGCCGAAAGCGAAAGCAGGAUGCUGGGGGUGUACUGACACUCAGGGCGAAAGCUGGGGAGCAAAC
rnacentral:rRNA from 1 species